AAAGUUUUUCCUAAUAUCCAACCUAAACCUCCCCCACUGCAACUUGAGACCAUUACUCCUUGUUCUGUACUGGACCACUGAGAACAGCCAAGCUCCAUCCUCU